rnacentral:rRNA from 1 species
AUUGAGUGCUGAAAAUAAACUUAGUGGCGGACGGGUGAGUAACACGUGAGCAACCUGCCUUUCAGUGUGGAAUAACGUUUGGAAACGAACGCUAAUACCGCAUGAUGCAGCGAGAGGGCAUCCUUUUGCUGCCAAAGAUUUAUCGCUGAAAGAUGGGCUCGCGUCCGAUUAGCUAGUUGGUGAGGUAACGGCUCACCAAGGCCGCGAUCGGUAGCCGGACUGAGAGGUUGAACGGCCACAUUGGGACUGAGACACGGCCCAGACUCC